rnacentral:rRNA from 1 species
GAUUAAGAGCUUGCUCUUAUGAAGUUAGCGGCGGACGGGUGAGUAACACGUGGGUAACCUGCCCAUAAGACUGGGAUAACUCCGGGAAACCGGGGCUAAUACCGGAUAACAUUUUGAACCGCAUGGUUCGAAAUUGAAAGGCGGCUUCGGCUGUCACUUAUGGAUGGACCCGCGUCGCAUUAGCUAGUUGGUGAGGUAACGGCUCACCAAGGCAACGAUGCGUAGCCGACCUGAGAGGGUGAUCGGCCACACUGGGACUGAGACACGGCCCAGACUCCUACGGGAGGCAGCAGUAGGGAAUCUUCCGCAAUGGACGAAAGUCUGACGGAGCAACGCCGCGUGAGUGAUGAAGGCUUUCGGGUCGUAAAACUCUGUUGUUAGGGAAGAACAAGUGCUAGUUGAAUAAGCUGGCACCUUGACGGUACCUAACCAGAAAGCCACGGCUAACUACGUGCCAGCAGCCGCGGUAAUACGUAGGUGGCAAGCGUUAUCCGGAAUUAUUGGGCGUAAAGCGCGCGCAGGUGGUUUCUUAAGUCUGAUGUGAAAGCCCACGGCUCAACCGUGGAGGGUCAUUGGAAACUGGGAGACUUGAGUGCAGAAGAGGAAAGUGGAAUUCCAUGUGUAGCGGUGAAAUGCGUAGAGAUAUGGAGGAACACCAGUGGCGAAGGCGACUUUCUGGUCUGUAACUGACACUGA